rnacentral:tRNA from 2 species
CGGCGAGUAGCGCAGCUUGUAGCGCAACUGGUUUGGGACCAGUGGGUCGGAGGUUCGAAUCCUCUCUCGCCGACCA